rnacentral:rRNA from 1 species
UCCCGCCUGCCCGGUGACAACCCCGUUUAACGGCCGCGGUAUUCUAACCGUGCAAAGGUAGCGCAAUCACUUGUCUCUUAAAUGAAGACCUGUAUGAAUGGCAUAACGAGGGCUUAACUGUCUCCUUUUUCAAGUCAAUGAAAUUGAUCUCCCCGUGCAGAAGCGGGGAUACACACAUAAGACGAGAAGACCCUAUGGAGCUUUAGACAAAAAACAGACUCUGUCACUCACCCCUAGAAUAAAAGGGAAAAACUAAAAAGACCCUGUUCUUAUGUCUUCGGUUGGGGCGACCAUGGGGCAACAAAAAACCCCCACGUGGACUGGGAGAUUAAACCCACCUUUCUACUACUCCUAAAACCAAGAGCGACAGCUCUAACUAACAGAAUUUCUGACCAAAAAUGAUCCGGCAAUGCCGAUUAACGAACCAAGUUACCCUAGGGAUAACAGCGCAAUCCCCUUUUAGAGCCCAUAUCGACAAGGGGGUUUACGACCUCGAUGUUGGAUCAGGACAUCCUAAUGGUGCAGCCGCUAUUAAGGGUUCGUUUGUUCAACGAUUAAAGUCCUACGUGAC